UUACGGCCAUAUCACGUUGAAACACAGGUUCUCGAACGAUCACCGAAGUUAAGCAACGUUGAGCCUGGUCAGUACCUAGAUGGGUGAUAGCUUCGGAAUAUCAGUAGCUGUAAG